rnacentral:rRNA from 1 species
UACGUAGGGACCGAGCGUUGUCCGGAAUCAUUGGGCGUAAAGGGCGCGUAGGUGGCGGCAUAAGGCUGUGGUGAAAGUCCGGGGCUCAACUCCGGAUCGGCCGUGGCAACUGUGUCGCUAGGGCACCGUAGAGGCAGAUGGAAUUCCGGGUGUAGCGGUGGAAUGCGUAGAUAUCUGGAGGAACACCGGUGGCGAAGGCGGCAUCCUGGACCGACACUGACGCUGAGGCGCGAAAGCUAGGGGAGCAAACGGG